rnacentral:misc_RNA from 1 species
GUUUCAUCAAUUGUCAAAUUUCCAUCCUGCAUUCUUUGGAUAGACGGGAAACAAGAACAAGAAGCUAAUUUCCCUUUAAUUUCCAGGUCAUUAUUGUCAUGGUUUGUGCAUGAAGGACAAUCAUGGUGCUUAUUCAAAAUCUCUUCUUUAAGCAUAUCUGGUCCCUGUUCGUUACCCUCUUCUUCAUGUGUCUUUGCUGGAAUAGUAAUAACAGAUCUUAAGCGCUUAGGAUUACUCUCUUCCACAUAUUCCUCCCCAUUAUGAGUAGUAUUGCAAGAACAUGAAUGAUGGUCACAUAAAGAACAAACUGGCCCCCAACUUCUGCUCCUUCUGCCAGUGCUUGGCUCAUUGUGGAUUUUCUUUUCUUUCAUCUUUUUUCUAGACUUAAUCCUGGGAAUCUGAAGAUUGGUGUCCUUAUUAACACUAUUAUUUUCAUCACGGCAAGUGGAAAAGCUCUUAAAAUCUCUACCUCUGGAGCUAACACUGUUUUCACGUUGACAACUAGAACAACUUCUUGAGUCACUGUUCGUGGAGCUAAUACUAGCGUGUCUCGUUCGCUUCUUCUUCUGCACUUUUGUCCCAUAAUCAAGAAUCUUUCUAUUUAACCUUUCUCUUUUCUUUAAAGGGGGUGAACCGUCACUUACAUCUUGGCUUGAAAAUCUUCUUUGAGUUCUUUUCUACACGUGUUUUAUAUUACGUGAGUACCUACGUCUUUUCCUACUAUAAUCAACCUCUGAAUCAGAGGACAAAGACUGUGGACAGCUAGAAUAAUCAGAGGAAGCAGAAGAUCACGAGUCAUCCUCAGAACUGGAUAACUUCUUGGAUUUGUUUCUUCUGCUUUUUCUCUUCCGUAUCUUAGAAGAAACUUUGAGUCUCUUCUUUUUGGAAGAUUUUUUCUUAGAUAAAGACUUGCGUUCUCCCAUUGUGUUCCGAUUUGCUUCUUCUUCUUCUUUGUUAACAAAAUUGGAAUAGCAAAAAGCAAACCGCAGAUGAACGAAUCGAUAAUUGCGAUCAAUAUCGGAAAAUCUGCAGAUUGUGAAUUAGGAUUUGGAAGAAGGAAAGGAGUUUCGUUUGGUAUGGUGAAAGGAUCUGGAAGGUGCCCAACACACUCAACCCCAUAGAUAUAUAGCAUCCAUUAUCGUAG